rnacentral:tRNA from 1 species
GAGCGGGUGGCUGAAUGGCUAGGCGGUCCUCUUGCACGGGUUCACAUGCCGGUUCGAGUCCGGUCCCGCUCU